rnacentral:rRNA from 1 species
GAAGGUACCUAAGGAGGAAGCCACGGCUAACUACGUGCCAGCAGCCGCGGUAAUACGUAGGUGGCAAGCGUUGUCCGGAUUUACUUGGGCGUAAAGGGAGCGUAGGUGGAUAUUUAAGUGGGAUGUGAAAUACCCGGGCUUAACCUGGGUGCUGCAUUCCAAACUGGAUAUCUAGAGUGCAGGAGAGGAAAGGAGAAUUCCUAGUGUAGCGGUGAAAUGCGUAGAGAUUAGGAAGAAUACCAGUGGCGAAGGCGCCUUUCUGGACUGUAACUGACACUGAGGCUCGAAAGCGUGGGGAGCAAACAGGAUUAGAUACCUUGGGUAGUCAA